ensembl:lncRNA
CUCUGCAGCUUUCUACACUGACUGUUACUGUGAAGUAACACAGUAAAAUGCAUCCCAAGUUUUUGCACGCAAAAUGCCUCCAGGAAAUAUUGUUACUGAUACAGUGGGCAGAAUAGAUCCUUGACUUUCAUUCAUAUGUAAGAGUUGUCUGGAAUUUAGAUAAAUGCUUCCGAGUCUCAAUCAUGGAGGUCCUCCUACUCCUGUGCAUUCAGCUAUUCUUUGUCCUGCCACAGCCUCUUUUGUCCUCUAUAAUUUUCUCUUGCUUGACUUUGUUACAUUAGUGCUUCUUUUGCUCUCUUUGGCAUCUUUCUUCUUACUGACAUCUAAAGAAUCAUUAGUGUUUUCUGCUCUCAGGUGAAGCCCACUAACUCCAGUUUCUCUCUUGAGCCUUUGUUCCAAGUAUUAUUGUCACUAAAACUGACUGUAUCGCCUCUAUAAAACAAAUCCAAAAUACAUUUGUGGCUCCCCUUCAUGAAAAACAACAACAACAACAACAAGAAAACCCACCAACCUUGGAAAGGAAGGUCAUUCGCCUCUGCUACUCUCCCUGAUAUUGUUUCAGUACCUUCUGGAGUACUUCCAGCACACACACAACUUUGGUUGUGGAGAGCUACUUAAUGUUACACGCUGGUGAAAGCUGAAUUCUGGUGUAGAAAUAAGUUUUGCAAUAACAGUACCCUCCUCACCAGGAUAGUAAGAAUAAGGUCAUGUUUGGCAGAUCUUGCACUGUUAUUUUUUUCCAAAACCUUCCAGAGUUACUCGAUGCAAAAGAAUUACAGAUGAAUUUCAAUACUUACACUCUUCACAGUAUCAUUACCUUAAUUAAAUGGCUUAAGAGUGAGAAUCUCAAUAUCAGAAGGUGCCAGCUCACUGCCACCUCUUCACACCAUGAUCAGGAUCCUCCUCCGCAAGCCCUCCCAGGUGGCACUCUCUAUGCGGAGGCCAUAAGGAUGGUCCAGGCCCACAUUCUCUUUUCCUGAACACUUGGACAUCCCUCAGCUUGUCAUCCUCACAGGUCUUCCUCUUCCUUAGCUGUGUGUUCCUCUGGAGACUGCAGGCACAACUGAAUACUUCACUGUAC